UCUUAGUUGAUUGAAAGAAAUUGUGUUCACAAGGUGUAAUGUUUACGACAAUAAUCUGAUGAUGAAUCCCCUAUCUGUUUGUCUCCAACCUGGGUCUGGAGUGUGAUACUCAGUCUGGUGUGAUUUCCAUGUAGGAUCUGAUUUUGAUCUUCAUGUAUUACUUAGGUGGUUAGGAGUCCUUUGCUUUCAAGUCAUGAUUGGAGCUUCCAUAAUGUUAUUACAUUAAAAUGGAAGAAUUGGGCAACUCCAUUCA
rnacentral:lncRNA from 1 species